rnacentral:rRNA from 1 species
UAAAAAAUUUGGCGGUAUUUUAGUCUAUUCAGAGGAACCUGUUUUGUAAUCGAUAAUCCACGAUGGACCUUACUUAAGUUUGUAUUCAGUUUAUAUACCGUCGUUAUUAGAAUAUUUUAUGAGAAUGUUAAUUUUCAAGAUUUUUAAAUAGAAAAUAUAUCAGAUCAAGGUGUAGCUUAUAUUUAAGUAUAAAUGGGUUACAAUAAAUUUAUUUAAAUGAAUAUAAAUUUGAAAUGUUUAUUGAAGGUGGAUUUGAUAGUAAAAUUAUAAAGAUAAAUAAUUUGAUUUUAGCUCUAAAAUAUGCACACAUCGCCCGUCACUCUUAUUAUUAAGGUAAGAUAAGUCGUAACAUAGUAGAUGUACUGGAAAGUGUACCUAGAAUGCAAUUUAAAGCUUAUUAAGUAAAGCAUUUCAUUUACAUUGAAAAGAUUUUUGUGCAAAUCAAUAUAAAUUGAUUAUAUUUUAUUUAUUAAUUUUUUUUUUGUUUAUAAUAAAUUAUUAAAAAUAAUUAUUAAGUUGAUUGUUUGAGUAUUUUAUAAAGAAAAAAUAAUUUUAAUUAUAGUUAAAUAGUAUUGUGAAAGAAAAUUGAAAUAAUUGAAAAAUUAAUAUUA